UCGAGUCUAACCUACAAAUGACUAACCACGAGGACACAGGUGAUGACCGGGACGAGCUCAACCCGACAUAUAGAUAUAAAACAGUAAGCCGGUAUGUCUGUACAUUCAAAGAAAAGUAACAAGGAAUACGGAAAGAGGGAAAUUAAAGAAAAAGAAAAAUUUUAAGAAAAAUCUUCUGUUUCUCUAGCACGCGUUUCUCUGGUACUACUGAAUUGAUCUUACUGUAGUUUUUGCAGAGAAGUCCAGUGCGCAGCAAGCUUCAGACAUCUCAGAUCAAAUCUUGGAGCAUCCUGAAAUAUAGAAGCGGAUAUUUUAAUCGAUUACUGAAAUCGAAAAUGAAAGUACCAAUUAAAACGAUACUUACAUUUUUAAUUACGAUCUUCGAAUGUUAAAUUUCUAAAAUCUGAAAUAGAAACUCGAGAAAUAUUAAUAGAGGUAAUAGCUUUGUUUUACGUUCCCUGACCUUCCCUACUGUUCAGUGACGGUGAUGAAAAAUAGUUACAACUGUUGAAAAAGAAAAAAAAAAAAAGAAAAAAAACGAUGGGUCAUUUCUUAUAAUCUUAAUCUUAUACCUUUAAACGAGCAAUUCUUGUAUAUAAAUAUAUAUAUAAUCUGAAUCUGUCAAACGGCUCCAACGAUUUUCAUAAAAUUUAGUAUACAGGGAAUUUCUGGGGCGAUAAAUCGAUCUAGCUACGAUUUACUUUCAGAAAAUGUUCUUUUAUUCGUGUUUUCAAUAAUCAACUUUAUCGAUAAUCAAAUUAAAAAACAUAAUCUUUUUUUUUUUAAUUGAAAGAAAACAACAAAUAAUAUAAUAUCAAUAUGUAAUUCGUAUUUUUAAUACGAUUUCUAAGAAACACAAUUAAUCAAAAAAAAAACAUCCUCUAGUAGCAAUUUAUAAACGACAUUGACACAACAUUGACACGUGUGCAUAUUGAGCACUCUGGAUCCAAACCAGCCUUUAGGUUAUCGUAGUUUUGACGUUAAUUUUGAUUUUUUGUUUUAUUAUUUAUGCUAACGAUCCACCCCCGCUUCGCUUCGGAAACAUUAAAUUUUAUUAUUGAUAGCUGAGUCCCGCGAUGUUUCCCGCGGUUUUGUCGUACCGCGGGUGACGCCGCGGGGCGAAGCUAGUCUAAAAAAAGUAGCCUAAGUUACUCUUUAUAUCAUCAGCUACCUACAUAUCAGUGAAGUGAGAUUAGCCGGAACAAACAGACAGACAGACAGACAGACAAAAAUUGUAAAAAAUGUUAUUUUGGUUUAUGUACCGUACAAUAUUCAUAUGCAUGUAGUAAAAAGCGGUAAUUUCAAUAUUACAAACAGACACUCCAAUUUUAUUAUUGCUUUUGUUUAUUCCGAGAUUGUAGUUAUUGUUUUUAUUUAAUUCUGGUAUACUGUAUGAAAUGUUAUUGAAUGUAAUAUGGAUGCAAAAACUGAAGUAAAUGAAAAAAAAAAUUACGAUUUUUUACGGAUAUUAGAAUAGUCAGACUCUAGACUCCACGCACCACAUAUUCGGUUGUGGUGAUCCGGGAGAGCCUAUAUAUCUUCAAAUGAUGUAAUUUUAAACUACACGAGUGAAGUUUUGGACGGCUUGUUAAGCUAAUAAGCCUUUUUGUCAAUUAGAAAAUAAUGCACCAUGUUUCACACAGCUUUUUGACAGCGGCUUAAUCUAUUGAAGAUUACAAUGUUUUUUGUCACCGAGUUGUACUUAAUAUUAAAAUUAAAAAUUCAAACGAAAUAUUAUGUAAUGAAAAAAAUACCCAAUGAAUUAUCAGCCAAUAAUUCAAGAGUAUUUCAUAAAGUAAAAUAUAAAUAAAGUUGUCGAAUGUGAAUUAAUAUAGUAAAUAAAAUGAAUUACAAACAAUAUCAAAUAAAGUUGUGUUAAUUCUACUAAAAUAAUAAUAAUUUUAUGUGCAAUCACAAUGGACAACUGCUUGUGCAAAAAAUUUAAAACAGCGCCAUCUAUCAAUAGUAUAAUGAACAACAAAGUUAUUUCAUAUAACACGAGAUGUCGCAUGAACUUUGUAUCGUAAUUAUUAAUUUUAUAUUCGCAUUAAAUGUUGUUAAUAAACCAAUGCAUGUUCAA